AUUGAACGCUGGCGGCAGGCCUAACACAUGCAAGUCGAACGAGUGGCGGACGGGUGAGUAAUGUCUGGGAAACUGCCCGAUGGAAGGGGAUAACUACUGGAAACGGUAGCUAAUACCGCAUACCAUCGGAUGUGCCCAGAUGGGAUUAGCUAGUAGGUGGGGUAACGGCGCACCUCGGCGACGAGACCUAGCGGGUCUGAGAGGAUGACCAUCCACACUGGAACUGAGACACGGUCCAGACUCCUAAGGGAGGCAGCAGUGGGGAAUAUUGCAAAAUGGGCGCAAGCCUGAUGCAGCCAUGCCGAGUGUAUGAAGAAGUCCUUCGGGUUGUAAAGUACUGUCAGCGGGGAGGCGUGACCCGCAGAAGAAGCCCCGGCUAACUCCGUGCCAGCAGCCGCGGUAAUUC
rnacentral:rRNA from 1 species